AUGAACGCUGGCGGCGUGCCUAAUACAUGCAAGUCGAACGGGGAGUAGCAAUACUCUUAGUGGCGAACGGGUGAGUAACUCGUUUGUACCUUCCCCGAAGCGGGGGAUAACUUACCUAAAGUUCCUCUAAUACCCCAUGUGCUCGGUAACGAGUAAAGGUGAAAACCACUUUUGGUGGGGCGUGCUUCCCAUCAGCUAGUUGGUAAGGUAACUGCUUACCAAGUCGAUGACGGGUAGGGGACCUGAGAGUGUGGCCCACCACAAUGGAACUGAGACACGGAAGAUAAAACUACGGGAGGGAGCAGAAGGGAAUAUUGGAAAGGGGCGCAAGACAGAAACAGCAAAGGAGCGUGAGCGAUGACGGCCUGGGGGUAGUAAAGGAAUGUUGAAAGGGACGAGGAAGGACGGUAACGGUCGAAUCAGCAACGGCUAACUACGUG
rnacentral:rRNA from 1 species